GCAAGUCGACGAAGUAGCAAUACUUAGUGGCAGACGGGUGAGUAACAUGUGGGUAUCUACCCUUUGGCCUGGAAUAACACGAGGAAACUUGUGCUAAUACCGGAUAAGUCUUUACGGAGAAAGCUUUAUGCACCAUUGGAUGAGCCCGCACUUGAUUAGUUUGUUGGUAGGGUAAUGGCCUACCAAGACUAUGAUCAAUAGCUGAUUUGAGAGGAUGAUCAGCCACAUUGGGACUGAGACACGGCCCAAACUCCUACGGGAGGCAGCAGUGGGGAAUCUUGCACAAUGGAGGAAACUCUGAUGCAGCGAUGCCGCGUGAGUGAAGAAGGCCUUUGGGUUGUAAAGCUCUUUCGUCGGGGAAGAAAAUGACUGUACCCGAAUAAGAAGGUCCGGCUAACUUCGUGCCAGCAGCCGCGGUAAUACGAAGGGACCUAGCGUAGUUCGGAAUUACUGGGCUUAAAGAGUUCGUAGGUGGUUGAAAAAGUUGGUGGUGAAAUCCCAGAGCUUAACUCUGGAACUGCCAUCAAAACUUUUUAGCUAGAGUAUGAUAGAGGAAAGCAGAAUUUCUAGUGUAGAGGUGAAAUUC
rnacentral:rRNA from 1 species